AAGCUCGUAGUUGAAUUUCGGGGUUAGUAGGUUGGUCAUGCCUCCGGUAUGUACUGGUCUCACUGAUUCCUCCUUCCUGAUGAACCGUAAUGCCAUUAAUUUGGUGUUGCGGGGAAUUUGGACUGUUACUUUGAAAAAAUUAGAGUGUUUAAAGCAAGCUAACGCUUGAAUACAUUAGCAUGGAAUAAUGAAAUAGGACGUUCGAUCCUGUUUUGUUGGUUUCUAGGAUUGACGUAAUGAUUAAUAGGGAUAGUUGGG
rnacentral:rRNA from 1 species